UCAAAAUACUGAGUAGGAAAU
rnacentral:piRNA from 1 species